rnacentral:lncRNA from 10 species
AAUAAAUAAAAGAAAGGGAGAGGAAGGGAAAAGUGAAGUUGGCCAGCUGGACCUGGGACCCAUUUCGCAACCUUGCUGCCUGCAGCCUAGGGGCCCUUUGCUGAGCUCCCCAGCCACCUCCUUCUUCCCCAUGCAGCAUGGUGCAGGGAGGGGAACCCUGAGACCUCUGAGAGCCCCUUCAGACCAUCCUUUCACACACAGUCCAAACUCCUGAGUGACUUCAGCAAACCCGAUUUCCUUCAAGGCCUCUAUUUACAACCUCAGAACCUCCCCUCACCAUACACACCCAUGUUCCCAGGACCCCAAUCUUGCAGUCUGCCUCAUUCUUUCUACAGUGGUGGCAUCCUCCAAGGUGAAGGGAAUACAGAUCAGAGGAGCUCAGCUUAGGAAAUGCAGGGCUGGGCUGGGGUCGGUAGACUGCACCACCAGGCCUGCCCAGGGGCAGCCUGGCAGGAGGCUGGACAAAGCUGGGUUACAGGCUCCAUAGGCCUCUGGAGCUGAGAGACUGGUCAGAGGUGGGGGUGAGAGUGCGCAGGCCUGGUUCCUGACUAAGGGACUAUCAGGCCUGUUGAUCCCUCUGGGCCUCAAUUUUCAGAACUUUAGUCUUUUGUGUAUCACUUUCAAAAUGUCUACCAUGCUUAUGUACAGCUUGCGCUACUGUUUAUUACCAGUUAUUUCAAUUAACUUACUUUUCUUAUUUCGCUGCAUGCUAAACAAUUGCUGAAGUAACAGAUUUGAUGUGCUAGUUACAGGAGUUUCCUAAUGCAUAUCAAAUAAAAACGUAACUAUAACAGUUAAAAAAAAAAAAAAAAAGCUUGUCCAGGUACCAUCUAAAAUCAAAUCAAUGCAUAGCCCCUUUGAGAAAGCAGUAGUGAAAGCCAGGGCUGCUCUUGGUACUGGCCAAGGGUCUUGCCUUCUCUUCCGGCUCUCACCAUGGAGUUCUCUGGUCUUGGAAUUCGAGCCUCAUAGACCUCCCCAAACCACUGGGCCAGCGGCAGAGGGGAGGGGGAGGUAAUCUCAGGUGGGAGGAAAAGAGAUGACCCACCCAAUCCAGGGGGAUAACACUGGGCCUGAGGCAGGAGGGUCAGCAGCCCUGGGGCAUUGAAGAGGAAUGUUCACACACUGCAGGGCCUCAGGGGGGCCCUCGGGGGCUCUCAGGACUCCACAACAGGUCUGACUCACAUGGCCCAGGACACAUGUGAACCAGGCUCAUUUCCUGGCCUCCUUCCUUCUUUCUAUUCUAUUUCUGCUUCCAGAGUUUUCUCUGGGGCAGGCUCCCCCUUCUGCCUGCACCAGCGGGCUGGCCUCGCUGGCUCGAACACCCCUCAAUUGUCAGACUCCUCCCUCUGUGUGCACCCCUGCUGCAUGAGGCUCAGCCCCAGGGGUCCAACAGAGGUCACAGUCACAGCACAGAAUGGAAGGCUUGCAGGGAGGGCUGCCCUGGAGGGCAGAGUGAAAGCAGGGGAAAGCUGCAGCCUUUCUUCUUCGUCCUCCUUGGGGAGCUAAUUACAGGCCAGCAGCCACUGUGCAGCUCCCAGGUUGCAGAACCCAGGGCCAAGAGUGGUGCCAAAUCUUCUAGACCUUCACUGCCCAAUACGUAGCCCAGUCACAUGUGGCUAUCAAGCACUUGAAAGGCGGCAAGUUCAA